UUAAAUAUUAAAAAAGGAGGUAAAAGAUCUCAUUAAUAAUUUUUACACUGAUUACAUGUUGAAACGAUAAUAUUAGGAUACAGUGAGUUAAAUAUAUCACUGACAUUAAUUUCCUGUCUGUGUUCACUUUUUUAACGUGGGAACCAGAAAAUCUGAAAUUAUAUAUUUUGCUCGCUUUUCUGGCUCACAUCAUAUUUCUACUGGAGGGUGCUAUUCUAGAUUUGAGGUCAGCAGACUUUUCCUGACCAUAUGGUAAAGGACCACACAGUAAAUAUUUUAGGUUUUUAGGCCACUCAACGUCUAUCGCAACUACUCAACUCUGCCGUGGUAUCGAGAAAACAGUCACAGACAACUCAUAAGCAAAUGAGCAUGGCUGUCGUUCAGCACCGCUUUGUUUACAAAAACAGGCAGCUGCCUGGAUUGACCCAUGGGCCAGUUUGCUGACCGCUGUUCUAGAUUAUCAAACUUUUACUGUAGAUAGUUUUGAAGAACACGAAGUGACAGAAGAUAAUGCUUUUAAAGGAAUUAUCAUAAAGAAGAAAUGAAACUAAUAACCCAGUUAGGCAUAAUUUCAUGUAUGUGUAGUUGAUGGGGCUAGAUCUAUUAUUUUACUAAGGUUCCCUGGUCGCGGUGUUGACAUCUUACUUUUGUUUCUUUCAAUAAAGAUUUAAGUAGGAUAAGAAGUUGGAGCCAGGCUGGGCAAAGAGAUAUAAUUUCACAGACUGAGAAAGAUUAUUUGAGAAGUGGGAGAAGCAUGAGUGACAGCUAGGGUACAAGAGAAGAUCAACCUCAGGGAUGGAGCAAUUUUUCUUAAUAUGACGGGGGCGUGCUGGUCCCAAGGCGGACCUCGAAAUGAGCAUAUGUAGCUUUAGGAGCAUGGUCUAAAUCCCUCAAGAAGGUGUUAACCAUCUUCAGUCUUUGGGCACCUGUGCAAUGUAGGAAGCUGGCAUCUCGUAGGUUGGAAUGGACCCAGUGGGCAGCUGCCACACCAUGAAUUGUGGCCACCUCUGUUAUGUACAAAACCAACACCGAUUAGCAACACAUCACACUCUAAAUAUUGAUUAAGCUGAAGCUGAUUUCCUGGCUCAAGUCAUGUGUGUGGUUAUGAGCUGUUUCCUGCCAGGAAAAGAAAGCAAUUAACUUGAGUUUCAGCUACAGGCGUGACACGUGUCCAACCUUCAUAGGUAUUUUCACAUGCCAGGUUGCAUUAACAUGAGCUAAAAAUUACCCAAACAUUCCUUUGUUUAGAAAUCAUAAGGUCAGAGUCCGUGUCUUAUUCAUUUUUAUGUCUCUGGCUUCUAAGAUAGAGCUUGGCACACAGUAGGAUUUGGUACGUGUUUCCUGUCAAAAUAAAGUGCCACUAGUGGGCAUUUCUGCCAGGUGCCUCAGUGGUCCAUCCUAGGUCACUGCUGCACAUGGUGGGGGUACCUGCACAUAAACCGAAGGACUUGAUCCAAUCGUGAGUCCCCCCCACCUUUUCCUAACAUUCACAAGUUCUUUUGUACGGAGGCCCGUGCUACUUUCUUACAAAGAGUCUUCACCCUUUGGCAUCUUACUGGGCCCCUGGGGGUCAGAGCUGACCUGCGGCACUGUGAGGUCAGGGUCUGACACCCACCUGGAGUGGACUUCUCCCAGCUACCUAGUCCCUCCAGACCUUUCAGCCAAUCGCACUACAUUCUAGAACUUUUCCAAUUCUCCACACCAAAAAUACAAAUUAAACUUCUAAAAUUUCCUAUCCCUCCACCCUCUGUUGGACUCCUGUUCAUCUGGCAAGUUCAUCCACGUUAAUGGGAUAAUGAAAAAAUACUGUGGUAAUGUCCCAUAUCUGCAUUUCUAUGCCAGCCUGGCAGAAAUAAUGCCUUAAAAGCAGAGCCCAAAUGCACUGCAGCUGUAAGCAAGAUAUCUGGGGUGUAAGGGACAUUUCUGUGUCGCUCAAAUUAUGCCAUUUAGGCAGCCACAUAGAUGUUCCACCUCGGAAGCUACCGAUCUGUUCCGCACACAAUGGAGCUGGACUCUGAAAGCUGGUGAGCCCCCAAACACCUGUUUAUACCACAAGUAAGCCCUAAUCAAAGUCAAAUUUGACAUCGUCACACACAGCCACAAAACACAGAUGCCUUUGUCUUUGCGUAAUUGUGUUAAGUAUUGUAAAUUUUUGGAACAAAGAAAGAAAGGAGUCGGUCAAUGUGUGUUCAUCAUAAAAGACCCAAAAUUGGAGACCUAAAUGCAUUCAAUUCAGCCCGGGAAUUGAAAACCAGAUGAAUUUAUGUAUCUUCUGGAUGGAAAAAAAAUCUAUCAAUACUGCCUAAACUUCUUUGAGUAUGACUGCAUCUGAUUCCCUUAAACAAAAUCAAUAGGAAGAGACUCUAUUCAAACAGUCCUCCCUUGUUCCAAAGGGCUGAGAACAGUUGGCUCCCUUCUCUGUACGACCCACUUGUUAUUUAAGGAAGGGACAGAGAGAUUGGAAAGUCUUCAUCAUUCAUGUCUCGCUAUAGGAAGUUCAUUUACACUCACACGUGUAUGUGGGGGCUUCAGAUAUGCAAACAAUAAGUGACUGUCUUUCUCACUCCUGCCCAUUCCACCCCAUCAGUCGCCUAAAGAAACUUUGGCUCGUGAGCGCGUCCUCUCCACUCAACUGGCUGGAUCAAACUUUCCAUAGGUCAAAAAGGCAAUUGUAUUGGCUUCCAAGCCUACUUUUCCAAUUUCUGCUGACUAGAAAUAAGAAAAAAUUCUGUUUAUGUCAAUAAAGCAUGCAAUUAAGCAGAAUGGGAGAUGAUGUCAAUAUGGACUUCAAAAUCAAGAUGUGCCUUGGGAAACACUUCCCAGUCAACCAGCAUGUCUUCCCAAACUGAGAGCUGGCCAGAGAAACACAUUCAUCACAAUAACCAUCAUAGUCCUAGCUGUGCUGGGUCUUCUCGCCCACUGUAAUACUAUUUGAUGUGCUCUUUCUUUCUAACUCAAAUCAUAUGCAGGUCACCAAGGUUUGGUUUGGUUUGAUUUCAUUGAGUACCUACUGUGCGCUGGGCAUUGGGACAGGUGCAGUAAGUCUUUCUUCCCACUCACUUCUAACCUCACCCUCUCACAUUGAACUUACAGAACUUUUUACUUCAAACCUAAUUCUCACAACAGCCCUGUAAGGGACACAACAUUCCAGCUGAUGAGACGGAACGGACUCCAAGACGGUAAACAACUUACCCGAGGUCAACCAGCUACUGAAAAGCAGAACCAAAAUUCAAAUCCAUAAGUGCUGACUUUGUCAGCACUGGUGCCUUCCAGAAACACCCAAAACGAUGCCCUCAACUCACCCACUUCCCUCUACAGGUGUCACCACUUUCUGGCUACAGGUGAGGGUAUCUUGGGACUUUGCUCACCCCCAUCUUGAAAGUGAGGGGCGGCUAAAUUUCCAUCAUGAAGCCUUGUGUCUGGGGAGGGUAGAGAUUAUCCUACCCACAAACACACACACCACACUGAGCCUCAGCUUGAUGAAGCCCUUCCUCAGAUGAGGAUGGGAGACAAACAGGAGCUGCCAAAGCAGAAUUUCCUCAGCAAUUCCUCACACGCUGCCUGGCCCUCCUGCCCCUCAGGUCUGCUCUCAGGGGACUGGGAUGAGCCAAUAAACAGGGUAACGGAAUUCACUGCAGGCUAUUUAUGGUCUCCUCGAGUCCAUGCAUCUUCCCUGUGAACUGCCUGGCUUCUUCACAUCUUCUCUUCUACCUUUCCUCCAGCUGCUUCCUUUCAGCCAAUUCAGGGCUCCCACACCUUAGCCAACAGGAAUAGAGGGCAAAAGGCAAACACCAUUGCUUAGGAGAUUUUAGGAGCUCUGGUUAGGAUGGACGUGGAAGCCACUGACUGACGUCAAGUUUGAGGAUGAUCUCUAUAUUUCAAAUACCCAUAAUCACUCUUGCACAAGCUGGAUGAUUGAGGGUCUCUGUACCCCGUUUUGAUCUUAGUAGGUCCUGUGGUACACACAGAGUCAAGAAUUAAUGACUACCUCUAGAGGGAUAACUGAAGGUCUGUGGCCACUUACAGAGAAUUCUGCACAAGACUCGGUCACAGCCAAUGUCUGCUAACGAUCCCCACGUACAUCUCUGCAGCAAAUGUCCUUUUAUUUCUUUGUCCUUUGAUUGUCUAACAAGAAAAAACAUCCACUCUGAAUAUUUCAGCUCUACAGCUGACAUCAAUACUAGCCAUUGUGAGGUUUGUUUGCUCAUUUAAGAAAAAAUUAUACAUUCGAGACCAGAGUUCGGAAUGGACAGAACUGCCUUGUACAAGUGCCAUUGUCACAGAUGGGGCUGGAGCAGCCUCGGGCUGUCCUAGCCAAGUCUAGAGGAAGGUAAGAGUUAACGAUGCAAGAGAAUGGCAAGGGGGUCUACUGGGCAGAGCAAGUCCUGUGUGGACCACACGACUCAGCACCAGUGACCUCAAGGGAAGUGAGUUCGUUACUGUUUGCUUUCAAGGCCCUCACCCUCUCUGAGGAGGCCCUGCAUCUUGACCUUGCUGACCUCAGAAUUUUCUGGCAGCUGCUGGAACCAGGGAUCAUCUUUUCAGAAAUCUGCUUGGCAUCGUUCCGUGACUUAUCUUUCAGGCCUCAUCACAAUUAUUCAUGCUUUGGCAGUAUCCUAGCUACAGUCACAGUACUGUUCUUGGGCUGCUACUGAAGGUUACUCUGUCCCUACCAAUGGAGAAGGCAGGUGCCCACCGCCUCUGGACCCUGCCUCCAGGAAGCACGCUCCCCAGGAGGGCAGGGGCUUAAAGGCAUCUGUUCAGAAAGCCACUCAACCUCCAGCCCUUGUGAACAAGCAAAUAGGUGGGAACAACACAAAAUGGGAAUCAAGCCCCAAAUCAAGGACAGUUUGGCUUUGGAAUGCAUGCCAAGGCACACUGGGCCCGCACUUGGACACACAUUCGUACAAACUCAAUGCUGAACUCUGCCAGCUGCCUCCGGACUAUAUAAAGAUUCCAUCCUUUACCUCUCCAUUGCAGAUGGCAAAUAUCUUUUGGUUUUACCUUUUUUUUUUUUUUUUCUCUUUAACAUCCUGCUUCUAUUCUGUGGCCUGCGCUUCCUGCUUUGUAUAUUUUAGGCUACUUUAGACAUGACCUCACAUCCUGGCCAAUUGCACAGUAGCUGCUAAUUGCAAGAGCUUUGCUAAUGGCCCAUACAUCUAUGCAUGAGGGGAAUGGGUUACAAGCAGCAAAAUCCAGAAGGCAAUAAGCUAGCAUGGCUAAGAACUGAGGCUCUGGAAGCAGAUAGAUUUGGGUUUCAAUCUCGGACUACCUAUGUGGCCUGGGGAAGCUUACUUAACCUCUCUGAGCCUCAGUUACCUCAUCUGAAUGGGGAUCACAAUAGCUCCUAUCUCACAAUGUUGUUGUGAAGAUUAAUACUGGAUAAUGCAUGUAAAUAACUUAGCACAAAGAAACCACUACUAUUAAUAUUAUUAUUUAGGCUUUCAAAUUAUGAGAUAGCUUUCACCCUCUAGUGUCUACCUAUUCCUGAGAUCCUGCCUAGCUAUUCGGCUCCACCUCUACCCUCCACCUGCCCACCCUCCUUCCCUUAGCAGUCACUUCCUCUAGGAAGUAGACCUUGAAGAGGAGAAUGCACACUACCGUGCAUUUUUUCUCAGCUGUCUCAUGUUUUUCACACAUUUCAUGCAGAUGUUUACAUUUUCCCCAAUGUGCACACCACACUUCUCCAAGGUCAAGAAGCCUUGCCUUUCAGCAGGAUCUCAGUGGCCUCUGAAGCUCAUCUGAAGGAAGCACACACAGUCAAGAAGGACAGACAUUUCCUCUCCAAGAGAGUUCCCAAGUCCAUUCCUGCCCUGCCUGCCAAGACGUCCAGCCAUGCUCUAGUUAUUUUCCACAUUACGGUAUUUUCUAUAAUCUUUUCAGAGCCCUAGCUCCCCACUUCUCUACCUCACUCUGACCUAUCCAGAGCAUCAUUGUCCCCCUUGCUGUGAUCUCUUUUCUUAAGUCCCCCUUGGUCCAUACAGAACUUUUACACUUGCUCCAUCAUCUGCCUCUGUUCCUACAGCUCACUAGGCCUUUAGGCUUGGCUCUCGUGACCGUGAUUUCUUGGAACUGUCAAGAAGUGCUCUCUCCUUGCAAGGCCUUGGGAUUUCCAUGUGGAACUUUCCAGACCACCUGUAAAUUACUGUUUCACACUCUACUCUACUACAUAAUUUCUGCCUCUGUGGGUAAACCAGCACCUUGUGGAAGUGGAUCAUCUGUUUAAACUGAAACCCUGUCAUUUGUCAUGGCAGCAGUUUUAUUUAUGAGCCUGUGUGCUGUAACCUUGUGGCAUAAAUAUUAAAUAAUAAUAUCUCUUGGGUGAAAAAAAAUCAUUCAUGCUAACCAACAACUUCUUAUGAAAAUAUGAGGUAUAUUCAACCAGAAAAUUUGGUACUGGCUAAUUUUAAAAUAUGAGAAAAAGCAUGGAUCGCUCAACAGGUAGAUGCAAAAGCAGAAAUACAAUUUGCAUUUUUACACCCUCUUGCUUCAAGAAAUGAAACAUCCAAGAAGUAAAGAGUCUCAAAAGAAAACUUGGGCUGGGUGGCAAAUUUCUCUGGAACCAAACUCUAAUUCCGUCAGUGUCUCCUCAGCAGUUUUUAGCUUUGAUGAAGAAAAACUCUGAAUAAUGACAAUGCCACAUAAAUUAAAGGAAUUCUGGAUAAUGAUACUGCUUAAUUUUUUUUCUUUUAGCAUUCUGUGAAUUUCCUAUUACAUCAGUUUCAUGAUUCAGCAUUUUCCAUUCAUUUAUUUACAAUAAUAUAUGGUGAGAUAACCCAAGGUUUCUGCAGGAUCCUGGAACAUAAGGUAGGCUGGACAGGAAGGGUGUCACCUUUUGUAAAUUUACUAUUGUUUAGGAGAAUUCAAAGCAGACAGACGAAACCAAGCCAUCAAAGGAAUUGAGGACUACCUCCCACCUCGUUCUGAGGGUCUAAAUUACUCUGGUAUUUCAAAUGAGUUGGUUUUGAAAAAUAGGUUACUGCCAUUUAGUUGACUAAAACAGUAGCCAAGAAGUGUGCAAAUUGUAAACUGACAUGUAUAAGCCAAAUGUUAUUAUCUGAAAUGACAAUCUUCAAGACGCAGCUAAAGUCACUACUCUGGCGUUCACUGUCUUAACAGUCCUGUGGAAGACGUUGUUACGGGUUGGAUGGUGUCCUCUGAAAGGACAUGUUGGAGUCCUCACUCCUGUGUCUAACCCCUGUGGCGCUGCCCUUAUUUGGAAAUGGGGUCUCGGCAGAUGUAAUCACGUGAAGAUGAGAUCA